UGUAAGCGUAUACCAAAGUUGUUGCAGUUAAAACGCUCGUAGUCGGAAUUUGGCAGUUCCGGAAGUGUGCACGUCGUGUGCGCACUUUGCGGGGACUGCUUUUGUGGUCUUGCGUAGGAUGAGGCACUUUCAUUAGUGAACGUCCUCACGCAACCACUCUUUACUGCGAGAAAAUCAGAGUGCUCAAAGCAGGCAUUUGCCGUGAAUGUAUUAGCAUGGAAUAAUAGAAUAGGACCCGGUUCUAUUUUGUUGGUUUGUUGGGACUGAGUAAUGAUUAAGAGGGACAGUUGGGGGCAUUUGUAUUCCGGCGCUAGAGGUGAAAUUCUUAGAUUGCCGGAAGACAAACUGCUGCGAAAGCGUCUGCCAAGGAUGUUUUCAUUGA
rnacentral:rRNA from 1 species